CGCAGGGUGCGAGCGUUAAUCGGAAUUACUGGGCGUAAAGCGUGCGCAGGCGGUUUUGUAAGACAGGCGUGAAAUCCCCGGGCUCAACCUGGGAACUGCGCUUGUGACUGCAAGGCUAGAGUACGGCAGAGGGGGGUGGAAUUCCACGUGUAGCAGUGAAAUGCGUAGAGAUGUGGAGGAACACCAAUGGCGAAGGCAGCCCCCUGGGUCGAUACUGACGCUCAUGCACGAAAGCGUGGGUAGCAAACAGGAUUAGAUACCCUGGUAGUCCACGCCCUAAACGAUGUCAACUAGGUGUUGGGUGGGUAAAACCAUUUAGUACCGGAGCUAACGCGUGAAGUUGACCGCCUGGGGAGUACGGCCGCAAGGUUA
rnacentral:rRNA from 1 species